AUAGCAUUGAGGACUACAUUCAGACCACCACAUCCAACGUGGAGUCAGCCAAUCAGGAGCUAGCAAAGGCCAGCCAUCACCAGAGGCAGAUUAGGAAGAGGAAGUGUUACAUGCUGGUGGCGGGAGGCUUCAUCCUCAUCCUUCUCAUCAUCAUCAUCGCUGUGUCAGCAAGAAAAUGAAACCAACCCCAGAGGUAAGCCUCCUAACCCCUCCAUCACUACUGGUGUUUAUCAACCAGCAGCAGCCCAUAAAACAGAGCUUUACUUAGUACUGAUAUUGUUAUACAGGUACUGUAUGGCUGUAUUGAUUGCUAUAUUGACAUUCUAUUCUGAUUGUAAUCUGCAUAGAGGCCUGAGACGCAGUGCAGAUCCUGAGAAUAUGGCACAACCCGUUAAAAGCGAAUGUAGCUUUUUUUAAACUAAAUGGAAUGUUAUAGAAGGGUCCAGAUACUUUUGAUCAGAUUUCACUUGUUUUUGAGAAACUUACCCCAACCAGCGAUUCACUUCCACAUCCUCAUUGUGCAGUAUUGGGCUCUGAAAAACAUCAACAAAUGCUCCAAAAACACCCAAAAAAGAGGUUUGGUUGUGAAGGGCUAACUUGUCCUUAAGGAUGCGUUCAGUGGAUGUUGAAUAGUUUUAUUUUGUGAUAAGAAUUUGGGGCCAACUCAGAGAAUGUACAGGGAUUCUACGAAAACACAGCUUUUUAAUUGGAGUGCCAGUAAUGUGCAGGAAGGCUUCCUUCUUGAAUUGGAUCAAUAAUUGGAAUCCUAGUCAGAGGACACACUCUGAAAGUGACUGACAUUGACUAGCAACGUUCAUAGCAACAAGACAGCAAAGUCAACUUUUUUUGCAGCUUGACGUAUUUGCUUUUAUAGCAAAUCGAUAUUUAAGUAUUUUCUGUCAAGAGGACAUGUGGUGGGAAAAGGAUUUAUCUUCAUAUAUAACUGUGGCUGAAAUACUGUAGAUGGGUAAAUCAAUGUUCUCUUAAUAUUCCUAAUUUCCGAUUACUUCUGUUGGUAUGAUCUGAAAAGGCUUUUAACCACUUCAGUUUCGCUGUGUGUGGUAUGUUGGCUAAGCAACCAAUACUUGACUAUUUCUUGCUCAAUGUGUGUUUAUCACAGAGCAAGCCAUUGUGUAUAGAAAACAUUCGGAACAUCUUCCUAAUAUUUAGU
rnacentral:lncRNA from 13 species